GAUGAACGCUAGCUACAGGCUUAAUACAUGCAAGUCGAACGGGAUCUGAGGGUAGCUUGCUACCCGAUUUGAGAGUGGCGCACGGGUGCGUAACGCGUGAGCAACCUACCCAUAUCAGGGGGAUAGCCCGAAGAAAUUCGGAUUAACACCGCAUAAUAAUACGCUAACACAUGUUGAUGUAUUUAAAUAUUUAUAGGAUAUGGAUGGGCUCGCGUGACAUUAGCUAGUUGGUAAGGUAACGGCUUACCAAGGCGACGAUGUCUAGGGGCUCUGAGAGGAGAAUCCCCCACACUGGUACUGAGACACGGACCAGACUCCUACGGGAGGCAGCAGUAAGGAAUAUUGGUCAAUGGGCGCAAGCCUGAACCAGCCAUGCCGCGUGCAGGAUGACUGCCCUAUGGGUUGUAAACUGCUUUUGUUAGGGAAUAAACCUUCUUACGUGUAAGGAGCUGAAUGUACCUAAAGAAUAAGGAUCGGCUAACUCCGUGCCAGCAGCCGCCGUAA
rnacentral:rRNA from 1 species